AGAUGGGACCUCUUGGGCACUGCUGAGGUGGCUCGCAAACUGAUCACGCUCCAGCUGGCACCAAGGAGUUUCUCGGGGAGCCACCGGCCAUGACCGACCCCCGCUGCUCACAACGUACCUCUGGAAGGAUAGUAGAAAAUUAUUUGCCUUUGAAUGGGAAAACCCCCAGAAUGGAUGAAAGACACAAUUAAUUUGGACAAGACUUCCACAAGGCUUCAAGAAUAGCCCGACCCUCUUCGGGAGCCAGCUGGCCAAGGAACUGGAAAUCUGGACAACGCUAGGACAAAUACAGCAGCAUUUCUAGGAACUGUUCCAGAAGAAGGACCAUUGGAAUACAAUUGUGUGGAAAUAAUCCAACAUACUUAUGCUAGCCGUGAGGAUUUGAAGGAUGUACCCCUUGAAAGGUAUGACUGAGAACUUUUUACUGAUGGUAGUAGUUU